rnacentral:rRNA from 1 species
CGCGUGCACUGGUCCGGCCGGGCCUUUCCCUCUGCGGAACCCCAUGCCCUUCACUGGGCGUGGCGGGGAAACAGGACUUUUACUUUGAAAAAAUUAGAGUGCUCAAGGCAGGUCUAUGCUCGAAUACAUUAGCAUGGAAUAAUGAAAUAGGACGUUGCGGUUCUAUUUUGUUGGUUUCUAGGACCGCCGUAAUGAUUAAUAGGGACAGUCGGGGGCAUCAGUAUUCAAUUGUCAGAGGUGAAAUUCUUGGAUUUAUUGAAGACUAACUACUGCGAAAGCAUUUGCCAAGGAUGUUUUCAUUAAUCAGGAACGAAAGUUAGGGGAUCGAAGACGAUCAGAUACCGUCGUAGUCUUAACCAUAAACUAUGCCGACUAGGGAUCGGACGAUGUUAUAUUUUUUGACGCGUUCGGCACCUUACGAGAAAUCAAAGUGCUUGGGCUCCAGGGGGAGUAUGGUCGCAAGGCUGAAACUUAAAGAAAUUGACGGAAGGGCACCACCAGGGGUGGAGCCUGCGGCUUAAUUUGACUCAACACGGGGAAACUCACCAGGUCCAGACACAAUGAGGAUUGACAGAUUGAGAGCUCUUUCUUGAUUUUGUGGGUGGUGGUGCAUGGCCGUUCUUAGUUGGUGGAGUGAUUUGUCUGCUUAAUUGCGAUAACGAACGAGACCUUAACCUGCUAAAUAGCCCGUGCUGCUUUGGCAGCACGCCGGCUUCUUAGAGGGACUAUCGG